rnacentral:rRNA from 1 species
UUAAUUUUUAUUUAAAUAAUUUUAUUUAUUUUAGGUUAAGUAUUUUAGAACAACUUAUUUUUAUUAUAGUAAAUUUUUAAUGUAAGUGAUUUAUUUUAAAGUUAAUUAAGAAUUUUUUUUUUAUUUUACCUUUUGUAUCAGGGUUGAUUAAGUAUUAAGUUUUUAUAAGUUUUUCCCGAAUUGUGAUGAUUUAUAUUAUAAUGAUUUUUAUUGUUUCAUAAAUAUUUAAAAUUUUAAUAUGGAAGUGAUAUUCUAUACGUUUUGCAAGAUAUCUGGUUUUCUAAGAUUAAAUUAAAUUUGCAGGAAUUUGUUAAACUUAUUUAUUUUAUAUUGUUUUAUUAAUUUUCGGUUAUUUUUUAGGGGUUAAGCUCUAGAUAUUAAUUAUAAUUUAUUAGUAGUUUAUUUUUAUGUAGGCUUGGAAUUAGCCAUUGUUAUAAGUUUGUAUUAUUUUAUUAUUUGGAUUAAUUAUUUUUAAUUUAUUUAAUUUUUUUAUUAGAAUUGAAAUUAAAAUUUUAUUUGUUUGGUGAUAAUGGUUAAAUUAGUAUAUGAUUUAUGUAUUUUUAAUAAUAUUUGAGAUUUUAUUAAAAGGAAUUCGGCAAUAAUAUUUCCGCUUGUUUAUCAAAAACAUCUCUUGUAGAGUUUUAUUAUAGGUAGGGCCUGCACACUGAGAAUUUAAAGAGCCGCAGUAUUUUGACUGUGCAAAGGUAGCAUAAUCAUUAGCAUAUUAAUUGUAUGCUGGGAUGAAAGGUUUGACGAGAAAUAUUCUGUCUCUUUUUAAAAUAUAGAAUUUUACUUUUUAGUAAAAAGGCUGAGAUAAAUUUUUUGGACGAUAAGACCCUAUAGAGUUUAAUUUGUUAGGUUAUUAUGGUUUGGGUUAGAAUUUAUUGUGAUAAUUAAAUUGAAUUUAGUUGGGGCGAUUUGAAUAAUAAUUAAACUAUUCAUUUGUUUUUUCAUUGAUUUAUGUAUUUAUGAUCUUUUAUUAUUGAUUUUUAGAUAAAAUUACCUUAGGGAUAACAGCGCAAUCAUCUCUGAGAGUUCUUAUUGACGGGAUGGAUUGUGACCUCGAUGUUGGAUUAAGGUUAAUAAUCAGGUGAAGGAGCUUGAUUUAAUUGGUCUGUUCGACCAUUGAAAUCUUACAUGAUCUGAGUUCAGACCGGCGUGAGCCAGGUUGGUUUCUAUCCAAAAAUGAUUUAAAUUUACUAGUACGAAAGGACCGUUAAUUUUAAUUAUUUUAUUUUAUUUGAUUAAUAUUA